ACAUAUGUUUUAGUUUCGAGUGCUUCGCAUCGGUUAGUGGCGAACGGGUGAGUAACACGUAGUUAAGCUACCCUCGAGAGCGGGACAACCCAGGGAAACUUGGGCUAAUACCGCAUAAGACCACGAACUGGGAUGUUAGUGGUAAAAGCAGCAAUGCGCUAGGGGAUGUGACUGCGGCCUAUCAGGUAGUUGGUGGGGUAAAGGCCCACCAAGCCAAAGACGGGUAGCCGGACUGAGAGGUCGAACGGCCACACUGGAACUGAGACNNAGCGUUGUUCGGAAUUACUGGGCUUAAAGGGCGCGUAGGCGUUUCAAUAAGUCAGAUGUGGAAUCCUUAGGCUUAACCUAAGAAUUGCAUUUGAAACUGUUGGGAUUGAGUAAGGCUGGGGAGGGCAGAAUUCCUGGUGUAGCGGUGAAAUGCGUAGAUAUCAGGAGGAAGGCCAGUGGCGAAGGUGGCCCUCUAGGCCUUAACUGACGCUGAGGCGCGAAAGCGUGGG
rnacentral:rRNA from 1 species